rnacentral:misc_RNA from 1 species
GAAUUGCGAUAAGUAGUGUGAAACGCAAGACCUUGUGAAUCAUCAAAUGUUCUAAUGCACCUUGCACUCUAUGGAUUUCCGUAGAGUACUUUUGCCUGUGUGUUUACUCUUCUUCCUUCUCUCUGCUUGCAGAGGAAAGGGACUUGAGGGGCUUUCUUCUAGGAGAAACCGCCUUGCAACACAGGGUACUACGAUGUCUGUAAAAUGACCAUCGGUUGAUUAACGUUUCUUCGUUUGCUUUUCGGAGCAGGCGAUCCAUGUUGGUCGGCCUCGGAAGUUUGAAGGACUCGACAGUGCCUAAUACCCAGUCGGUCGCAAGACCACGAAUGCAAACCACAGAUCAAAAGAGAUGACCCGCUGAACUUAA